rnacentral:rRNA from 1 species
UACGUAGGGUGCGAGCGUUGUCCGGAAUUAUUGGGCGUAAAGAGCUUGUAGGCGGUUUGUCGCGUCUGCCGUGAAAAUCCGGGGCUCAACCCCGGACUUGCGGUGGGUACGGGGCAGACUAGAGUGUGGUAGGGGGAGACUGGAAUUCCUGGUGUAGCGGUGAAAUGCGCAGAUAUCAGGAGGAACACCGAUGGCGAAGGCAGGUCUCUGGGCCACUACUGACGCUGAGAAGCGAAAGCGUGGGGAGCGAACAGG